rnacentral:misc_RNA from 1 species
CGAAUGGGUCUGAAGACUCUUAAAACCUACCGUGCUCCCCUACGUGGAAAACAGGAAAGCCCUCCGGGGCAUAGGAAAUCUGAGAAGUUGAGAACUGCGCCCCGGCGCAUGACUAAAACAAAAAAUUA